UUUUGGACAGGCGGAGUGAAAGAACAAGCAUGAGAGCAUUUUUUGAGAUUGCAGAAGCGUAAAGAAAAACAGUAAACAUACAAGCUUUUUGAGCUUUUGAAAAUUAGUACACAGAUAGUUGAAAUACUGGUCCAAAUCUGGACAAGAAAAUACAGUAGAAACCUUUUUGCAUAGAUGGUUUAAAAAAUGUGGCAGGAGUUUGUAAAAAAAUAGAGAGGGCUUCAGAAACAAACGAAUUCAGACAGAAGCGAAUUAAUUUGAACACGACUUGAAGGUGAUUAGCCCAUAAGCCUUGCCUAUGCGUUAUUAAAGAUGGUGAGCAUGCAAUGGUUUAUAGUUUUAACAAGGAGUUUGUUAACCAGUCUUACUUCUAUUUAAC
rnacentral:lncRNA from 1 species